CCCAGCCUUGAUCGUACUAAAUGAAUAAGUGACAGCUAACUAUGUGCCAGCAGCUGCGGUAAAACAUAGGUCACGAGCAUUAUCCGGAUUUAUUGGGCGUAAAGGAAGCGUAGGCGGACAAGCCGAUCUAUUGUGAAAGGCACUUGCUUAACAAGUUGUUUGUGAUAGAAAUCACUUGUCUAGAAUUAGUUAGGAGAUACUGGAAUUCAAUGUGUAGCGGUGGAAUGCGUAGAUAUAUUGAGGAACACCAGAGGCUAAGGCGAGUAUCUAGGACAUAAUUGACGCUGAGGCUUGAAAGCGUGGGGAGCAAAUGGGAUUAGAUACCCCAGUAGUCCACGCCGUAAACGAUGGGUAUUAGGUAUUUGAUUUAUGAUUGAGUGCUGUAGCUAACGCGUUAAAUACCCCGCCUGGGUAGUAUAUAUGCAAAUAUGAAACUCAAAGAAAUUGACGGGGACCUGAACAAGUGGUGGAGCAUGUUGCUUAAUUCGAUAAUACACGCAAAACCUUACCGAGGCUUGUAAUCUUUUGCAAAGCUAUAGAAAUAUAGUGGAGGCUAUCAGAAUGACAGGUGGUGCAUGGCUGUCGUCAG
rnacentral:rRNA from 1 species